rnacentral:rRNA from 1 species
AUUGAACGCUGGCGGCAUGCCUUACACAUGCAAGUCGAACGGCAGCACGGGUGCUUGCACCUGGUGGCGAGUGGCGGACGGGUGAGUAAUACAUCGGAACAUGUCCUGUAGUGGGGGAUAGCCCGGCGAAAGCCGGAUUAAUACCGCAUACGAUCCACGGAUGAAAGCGGGGGACCGUCGGGCCUCGCGCUAUAGGGUUGGCCGAUGGCUGAUUAGCUAGUUGGUGGGGUAAAGGCCUACCAAGGCGACGAUCAGUAGCUGGUCUGAGAGGACGACCAGCCACACUGGGACUGAGACACGGCCCCGACUCCUACGGGAGGCAGCAGUGGGGAAUUUUGGACAAUGGGCGAAAGCCUGAUCCAGCAAUGCCGCGUGUGUGAAGAAGGCCUUCGGGUUGUAAAGCACUUUUGUCCGGAAAGAAAUCCUUGGCUCUAAUACAGUCGGGGGAUGACGGUACCGGAAGAAUAAGCACCGGCUAACUACGUG